GUCGGGUGUGGUUGCUUGCACCUGUAGUCCCAACUACUUGGGAGGCUGAGGUGGGAGGAUCUCUUGAGCCCAGGAGGUAGAGGUUGCAGUGAGCCAAGAUUGUGCCACUGCACUCCCGCCUGGGUAACAGAGGGAGACCCUGUCUCAA
rnacentral:SRP_RNA from 1 species